GUGGGGUAAUGGCCUACCAAGGCAUUGACGGGUAGCUGACGUGAGAGCGUGAUCAGCCACAUUGGGACUGAGACGCGGCCCAGACUCCUACGGGAGGCAGCAGUGGGGAAUAUUGCGCAAUGAGCGAAAGCUUGACGCAGCGACGCCGCGUGGGGGAGGAAGGCCUUAGGGUCGUAAACCCCUGUCAGAUGGGACGAACCGUAGAUCGGCUAAUAUCUGAUCUGCCUGACGGUACCAUCAGAGGAAGCUCCGGCUAACUCCGUGCCAGCAGCCGCGGUAAUACGGAGGGAGCAAGCGUUGUUCGGAAUUACUGGGCGUAAAGGGCGCGUAGGCGGCCUAGUAAGUCGAGUGUGAAAUGCCGGGGCUCAACUCCGCGCACUGCAUUCGAUACUGCCUGUCUGGAGAAAGGUAGAGGCGAGCGGAAUUCCCGGUGUAGCGGUGGAAUGCGUAGAUAUCGGGAAGAACACCUGUGGCGAAGGCGGCUCGCUGGGCCUUAUCUGACGCUGAAGCGCGAAAGCGUGGGGAGCAAACAGGAUUAGAUACCCUGGUAGUCCACGCCGUAAACGCUGGGUACUAGGUGUCGGGAGGCUUGGCCCUCUCGGUGUCAACGCUAACGCAUUAAGUA
rnacentral:rRNA from 1 species